rnacentral:rRNA from 1 species
UGUUUCGGCUAGGGGGCCAUCCCGGCUUACCAACCCGAUGCAAACUGCGAAUACCGGAGAAUGUUAUCACGGGAGACACACGGCGGGUGCUAACGUCCGUCGUGAAGAGGGAAACAACCCAGACCGCCAGCUAAGGUCCCAAAGUCAUGGUUAAGUGGGAAACGAUGUGGGAAGGCCCAGACAGCCAGGAUGUUGGCUUAGAAGCAGCCAUCAUUUAAAGAAAGCGUAAUAGCUCACUGGUCGAGUCGGCCUGCGCGGAAGAUGUAACGGGGCUAAACCAUGCACCGAAGCUGCGGCAGCGACACUGUGUGUUGUUGGGUAGGGGAGCGUUCUGUAAGCCUGUGAAGGUGGCCUGUGAGGGUUGCUGGAGGUAUCAGAAGUGCGAAUGCUGACAUAAGUAACGAUAAAGCGGGUGAAAAGCCCGCUCGCCGGAAGACCAAGGGUUCCUGUCCAACGUUAAUCGGGGCAGGGUGAGUCGACCCCUAAGGCGAGGCCGAAAGGCGUAGUCGAUGGGAAACGGGUUAAUAUUCCCGUACUUGGUGUUACUGCGAAGGGGGGACGGAGAAGGCUAUGUUGGCCGGGCGACGGUUGUCCCGGUUUAAGCGUGUAGGUGUGUGUUCCAGGUAAAUCCGGUUCACUUUAACACUGAGGCGUGACGACGAGGCACUACGGUGCUGAAGCAA